CGUGUAGGCGGCCAAUUUAAGUCAGGCGUGAAAUCUCUGGGCUUAACCCAGAAAUUGCGUUUGAAACUGGAAGGCUUGAGGAUCGGAGAGGGCAGUGGAAUUCCCAGUGUAGCGGUGAAAUGCGUAGAUAUUGGGAGGAACACCAGUGGCGAAGGCGACUGCCUGGACGACACCUGACGCUGAGGCGCGGAAAGCUAGGGGAGCAAACGGGAUUAGAUACCCCGGUAGUCCUAGCCGUAAACGAUGGGUACUAGGUGUGGGAGGUAUCGACCCCUUCCGUGCCGCAGUUAACACAAUAAGUACCCCGCCUGGGGAGUACGGCCGCAAGGUUGAA
rnacentral:rRNA from 1 species